AACGAACGCUGGCGGCAUGCCUAACACAUGCAAGUCGAACGAGACCUUCGGGUCUAGUGGCGCACGGGUGCGUAACGCGUGGGAAUCUGCCCUUAGGUACGGAAUAACUCAGGGAAACUUGAGCUAAUACCGCAUAAUGACUCCGGUCCAAAGAUUUAUCGCCUAGGGAUGAGCCCGCGUAGGAUUAGCUAGUUGGUGAGGUAAAAGCUCACCAAGGCGACGAUCCUUAGCGGUCUGAGAGGAUGAUCAGCCAGACUGGGACUGCGAGACGGCCCAGACUCCUACGGGAGGCAGCAGUUA
rnacentral:rRNA from 1 species